CGGUGGAGCAUGUGGUUUAAUUCGAAGCAACGCGAAGAACCUUACCAGGUCUUGACAUCCCGAUGCUAUUUCUAGAGAUAGAAAGUUACUUCGGUACAUCGGUGACAGGUGGUGCAUGGUUGUCGUCAGCUCGUGUCGUGAGAUGUUGGGUUAAGUCCCGCAACGAGCGCAACCCCUAUUGUUAGUUGCCAUCAUUCAGUUGGGCACUCUAGCGAGACUGCCGGUAAUAAACCGGAGGAAGGUGGGGAUGACGUCAAAUCAUCAUGCCCCUUAUGACCUGGGCUACACACGUGCUACAAUGGUUGGUACAGAGGGUAGCCAACCCGCGAGGGGGAGCCAAUCCCACAAAAGCCGGUCGUAGUCCGGAUCGCAGUCUGCAACUCGACUGCGUGAAGUCGGAAUCGCUAGUAAUCGCGGAUCAGCAUGUCGCGGUGAAUACGUUCCCGGGUCUU
rnacentral:rRNA from 1 species